AGCACUCGUUGCUCUUUUCAACUCCAGGGCACGGGAUGAAGUCACCUUUCUUCUUUUGAAACCAACAGAUUCGUCCUGUGAGUCCCCGUCACUUCUGUGAGGACUUGUUUUUUCUGCUGCCGGUCGCCAGGACCUUCUCUCAGGUGUUUGGUUUGUUUUCUGGGUGUGACAAGAUAUAUUUACACCCUCUACUCAUAACCAAGAUGGAACGUUCCUUCUGAUUCUUGACUCACUGAAGAAGAAGGUCCAGAUCUGGAGGCUUGCAGGGCAUCAGAACCGGGGAGGCGUCAUUGGAUGUGAGAGCUGCACGUAUAAGAGACUUGCCGGAAGCAUGGACCUCAGUGAAACAUGGCCUUUGGAGGAAGGAGCCUGGUUGUCUCAUGCUGGAAUUCAUCAUUUUGCCAACACCAGAGGAGGU